rnacentral:rRNA from 1 species
UGAGCAAUCUGCCCUUCUCAUCGGAAUAAGCGUUGGAAACGACGUCUAAUGCCGAAUACGACCUCCUUUCGCAUGAUCGGAGGUGGAAAGCUCCGGCGGAGAAGGAUGAGCUCGCGGCCUAUCAGCUAGUUGGUGCGGGUAAUGGCCCACCAAGGCGACGACGGGUAGCCGGCCUGAGAGGGUGACCGGCCACACUGGGACUGAGACACGGCCCAGACUCCUACGGGAGCAG